GUCCACGCCCUAAACGAUGCUCACUAGGUGUUGGGGAAGCGAUUCCUUGGUACCGUAGCUAACGCGUGAAGUGAGCCGCCUGGGGAGUACGGCCGCAAGGUUAAAACUCAAAGGAAUUGACGGGGACCCGCACAAGCGGUGGAUGAUGUGGAUUAAUUCGAUGCAACGCGAACAACCUUACCUACCCUUGACAUGUCUGGAAGGCUGCUGAAAGGUGGCUGUGCCUGAAAGGGAACCGGAACACAGGUGCUGCAUGGCUGUCGU
rnacentral:rRNA from 1 species